rnacentral:misc_RNA from 1 species
GGGAAAAUCAGCAAUUUCACUUCUCAAAUGGUUCUAGUAGACCUUUAGUGCGUUCUGUUAAUGGAAAGCCCCUGCUACUGAUGCAUUGAAAAUGAAUGUGGAUGCAGCAAUUAUUGAAGGAGUUUGUUGUGGAUUAGGAAUGGUGCUACGUAAUCAUAAAGGGGAGAUUCUUAUGUCUGCUGCUUUUCGCCUUAACCAUUC